rnacentral:lncRNA from 1 species
AUGUUAUUUUAAAAUGUAAAAAGCAUCUUUAAAAGCAAAUUAAAAAAUCUAUUUUUAUUAUGGAUGUGAACUUUUCUUAUCUCCUUUUCUGAAACUUAUGGGGAGCUCUGGAUUGCACUGCCAACUCAUCGUGGGAACUUCUGGUAGGAGAGGAGCUUCUCAAGGAGUAAUCUUCUGUAAAUCUGCAAAAACAGCAAAUAGGUCGUGUAUUCAAUUGCCUCUCAGUGGGAAGUAAACGGAGUCAAGAGCGUUUUUCUUCGUUACUGUGAAUGUCUACUGUACUUUAUUUGUGAAAGUAAAGAUAAGGAAGCUGUAACAUAGUAUUUGGAGGAAAACGUAGAAUAAGGUUUGAAAAUAACUACAUACCUGAAAGCAAUAUAUCAAUAUGAAUU